rnacentral:rRNA from 1 species
GGGCCUGCACAAGCGGUGGAUGAUGUGGUUUAAUUCGAUGCAACGCGAAAACCUUACCUACCCUUGACAUGUACGGAACUUGCCAGAGAUGGCUUGGUGCUCGAAAGAGAGCCGUAACACAGGUGCUGCAUGGCUGUCGUCAGCUCGUGUCGUGAGAUGUUGGGUUAAGUCCCGCAACGAGCGCAACCCUUGUCAUUAGUUGCUACAUUUAGUUGGGCACUCUAAUGAGACUGCCGGUGACAAACCGGAGGAAGGUGGGGAUGACGUCAAGUCCUCAUGGCCCUUAUGGGUAGGGCUACACACGUCAUACAAUGGCUGGUACAAAGGGUUGCCAACCCGCGAGGGGAGCUAA